GGGCGCUCGUUAAGUGGCUAUAAAAGCCUGUGAAAACCUUGGCCGUCCUGAUAAGCGUGAGGUCGGUGGUUCAAGUCCACCAUCGCCCACCA
rnacentral:tRNA from 1 species